rnacentral:rRNA from 1 species
UACGGGGGGGUAAGCGUUGUUCGGAAUUACUGGGCGUAAAGGGCUCGUAGGCGGCCAACUAAGUCAUACGUGAAAUCCCUCAGCUUAACUGGGGAACUGCGUGUGAUACUGGAUGGCUUGGAUUUGGGAGAGGGAUGCGGAAUUCCAGGUGUAGCGGUGAAAUGCGUAGAUAUCUGGAGGAACACCGGUGGCGAAGGCGGCAUCCUGGACCAAUAUUGACGCUGAGGAGCGAAAGCCAGGGGAGCAACGGG